GACGAACGCUGGCGGCGUGCUUAACACAUGCAAGUCGAACGGAAAGGCCCUGCUUUUGUGGGGUGCUCGAGUGGCGAACGGGUGAGUAACACGUGAGUAACCUGCCCUUGACUUUGGGAUAACUUCAGGAAACUGGGGCUAAUACCGGAUAGGAGCUCCUGCUGCAUGGUGGGGGUUGGAAAGUUUCGGCGGUUGGGGAUGGACUCGCGGCUUAUCAGCUUGUUGGUGGGGUAGUGGCUUACCAAGGCUUUGACGGGUAGCCGGCCUGGGAGGGUGACCGGCCACAUGGGGACUGAGAGACGGCCCAGACUCCUACGGGAGGCAGCAGUGGGGAAUAUUGCACAAUGGGCGGAAGCCUGAUGCAGCAACGCCGCGUGCGGGAUGACGGCCUUCGGGUUGUAAACCGCUUUCGCCUGUGACGAAGCGUGAGUGACGGUAAUGGGUAAAGAAGCACCGGCUAACUACGUG
rnacentral:rRNA from 1 species